rnacentral:rRNA from 1 species
AUUGAACGCUGGCGGCAUGCCUUACACAUGCAAGUCGAACGGCAGCACGGGAGCAAUCCUGGUGGCGAGUGGCGAACGGGUGAGUUAUGUAUCGGAACGUGCCCAGUCGUGGGGGAUAACGCAGCGAAAGCUGUGCUAAUACCGCAUACGAUCUAUGGAUGAAAGCGGGGGAUCGCAAGACCUCGCGCGAUUGGAGUGGCCGAUAUCAGAUUAGCUAGUUGGUGGGGUAAAAGCUUACCAAGGCGACGAUCUGUAGCUGGUCUGAGAGGACGACCAGCCACACUGGAACUGAGACACGGUCCAGACUCCUACGGGAGGCAGCAGUGGGGAAUUUUGGACAAUGGGCGCAAGCCUGAUCCAGCAAUGCCGCGUGCAGGAUGAAGGCCUUCGGGUUGUAAACUGCUUUUGUACGGAGCGAAAAGGCUCUCUCUAAUACAGGGGGCUCAUGACGGUACCGUAAGAAUAAGCACCGGCUAACUACGUGCCAGCAGCCGCCGUAA